ensembl:lncRNA
GAGAGAGAGAGAGAGAGAUGGUAAAACCUGCUCCCUGUAAGGAUGAUGUCAGACUCUGCAGCUGAGCAGCUCCCCGACUAGGAGGAAGACUCCGAUCCCUGGUAAAGACGGACAGACCGACAGAGAAAGAGAGAAAGAGACAGAGCAACAGAGAGAGAGAGAGAGAGAGAGAGAGAGAGAGAGAGAGAGAGAGAGAGAGGAGAGAGAGGGGAGGAAGAAAGCCAGACAGAGUAAAAGAGAGAGGGAGAGUCAGGGAAUGAGAGGAAGCGAGGCAGUGAGCAGACGGCUGAUGGGAGCGGAGAGCAUCUGCUGAAUGAACGCGUGCAGUGAGGCUCGGGUCCAGGCUGAGGUCCAGACUGAUGUCCAGGCUGAGAUCCACAGUUAGGUCCAGGUUGAUGUCCAUGUUGGGGACGGUCUGAAACAGCGCGGGGGAGGUCCGAGCGGAAGGUCUCCUAUAUCAUCGAGGUGUGAAAACACUGCUCCAUCUCAUCGCUGCUGGUCCUGCUAUACUCAUGCC